AACUACCUUUUUUGGUGUGGCCCUCUGAGGGGGAGGGGAGGAGGUGCACUCCCCAGGGGUCUUUGCGUUGGAGGGGAGGGGGUGAAGACGCGUGGGGGACGCGGGGUCCGUUCCUUCCUGCCCGGCGGAGAAAGCACGUGGUCCUUCUGCAGUUUACUGUAGGAAUUCUAAGAGAAGAACAGUGCCUCUCUAGUGCUUUGGUCACAGCAGCAGUCCGCUAUAUACCUCAUGAAGUUGCUCAGGUCAUCUGUGAGAUCCCUGGAUGAGGAGUUCUAAAUCAGCAGUACUUACUGCUGCUGUGAGGAUAAUGUAACAACUGAAGCCUCAGCAGCUGUUGACACCUGCAUAACUCCAUUUCAGUAAGGAGCUGAUUAUCUGCUUGGUUCAUUACUUCCUUUCUACGCAGCUCUGGGAUGAUUUCCUACUAGAGGUUCUGACUUUCUUUCUGGAUCAAGGAGGUAUCUGUUAAACUGAGAUCUGCUGGAAUUUGUUGAGCUAGAGAUGUUAAUCAAUGUCUGAUUAGCUAUGCAUGCAAACACAGACAGCCCCGCAGCUGCUGGCAGUGGACUUUUAACUCAGCCGAGCACCACUGGUGAGUUUUAAAUCCUGUCAGCAGCACUCUGAAGAAUCUGUCUGAGAUACAGCCAAAAUGCAGGCAGCUCAUUGGGAAUGCUACCAAGUGGAACUUGACUCUCUACUUUCAAUACAGAAUGUUUUCUUCAAUUAAAGGAAAAAAAAAAUAGUGAUCUGGGAUUUGA